UUUUAAAAAAAAAUCUUUAUUUACAUAAUAAAAUAAACGAGAAAAAUAGGAAAAAGAAUUAAGAUGUCGUAAAAGACAGAAGUGUACACCAUCUUUCUAGAUUUUAAUAUUCAUUAGGAGGGUAAUUAGUAAAUUAGACUAAAAAUUAUGUGCGGCAAAAUUUCCCUCUUCCCUCUCCUUUUCCUUCUCCAAAGGGCACGAUUUUUCUUUUCCUUUUCCUUCGCCUUUGAUUUUUCUAAUUCAAUUGAAGCUGAAAUAAUCUUUGUCCCCCCCCCCCCCCCCCCCGCCCCGAAGAAGAUUUUAAUUCGUUCUAUUUUUUGAUUGGACUUUUUAUCCAUCACCUCUUAAUUAUGGUGGAUUUUCGAAGAGCGUAUGCACAUAAGUUAACGAGUGCAUUUUCCACGGAAUCCCAGAUUAACGUCCACUUGAGGGUUACCAUGGUGACAAAUCAGCGAUGUUCUUUGCAGGAAAUGUGAUGAGGGAGCCAAAAACUUGGUGUAGGUCUUGAAGUUUGCACCAAAGCAUGCUGUCAGGAUGUAUUAUCUGUGAUACCAUAUAUUUUCUAUGAAAUAUGCAUAUAUCUUGAGUAGUUGUAAACAAGUUCAAAAUAGAGGAUCCAUGUAAUUAGUGAAUUCCACGAUUUAGCUACAAGUGUCUUAUUUGCAGAACAGGAAAUACAUUUGGUAUAAGUGAUGCAAUAAAAAAUGUUACUUCUUGCAAUACUGGAGCAAGAAGUAGCAUUCUUGAAUGCAUCACUUAUCCCAAAUAUUGCAAACUGCGACUAAUUAUUCUUUUAAUUUAUUCAUUCCUAUUGUAAGAUUCAAAUAGAAAGUAAGCAAUAAAAAUAUUGUGGCGGAAUUAAACUACCAUUAAUUAUAAUAUUUUUAAGCAUUAAUAUUAUAUUGUAGCGGUUGUAAACCCCCACAUAAUUUUUUUUCAAAAAUAACUAAUAUUUUAUUGUGGGAUUUAUAGAAUACCACAAUAUUUUUUUGUGAUAUUGUGAUAAUAUUGCAGGGGGUUAUAAACUCCCACAAUUUUUUUUUGAAACAUUAAUAUCAUAUUGUGAGUGUU